rnacentral:lncRNA from 1 species
CCCCACCCUCGGCUGCUGCCCGAGCUUCCUCCACGCGCCGUGCAGUCUCCACGGCGACGCUGCGUUCCCGACUCGGAGCCCCCAGCUCCGCGCGAGCAGCUAGCCGGGCUGGCUCUCGGUGUGUGCCCUUCGGAUGGUCUGCUGAAGAGGGCCGCCAGCUGGACUUCUGUAGACAAGACAGAUACUGUAAAGACAGCAAAGAACAAACAGAAUGGCAGAUUGCUAAUGUUUGAUCCAAACGAAAAAGUGAUGAUUGAAUCAAACGAAGCAAUGUCAGAGUAAGAAGAUGUCUUUGAUUGUGCAGCUGAUCUCUCCCAUGCCUUUUAAGCAAUUAGAACUAGAUAAUGCAGCCAUUUGUCACCCAAUUAAAUUUGAAAGGCCAGAAAUGCAUGGAUUAGCACUUCAGCUUUUGCUGCAGUCAAAGCAAUUGUUACUAUAGAUAGAAGGACAGUUAAAAUGAAAAAUGAAUUUUGAUAAAAAUGCAGAAGUAUAGAUAAUAUUCACUUCUACUUUUUAAUGCUUAAACACCCUGUAUUCUGUAUUUUACUUGUAUCAUAAUUUUCAUUGCUCAUUCCUAUUUCCCUUUGAUACUUAUUUCUUUCACAAUAUUUCUUCAAGUGAAUAUGUACUUUAAAAUUAACAAAUUAUUUACUAUAACAUGAAUUGUUACUACUCAAUAAAGAAAGUAAUCACCUCAACUAGUUGAAGAAACUGGUGUUAAAAAAAUUGUAUUCUUUCCAGCCUUUUGGCUAAGAUCAAGUGUAAAAAAAUCACAGUACAAUAUCAAUUUAGUAGCUAAAUUUUAAAUAUCUUCUCUGUUCAAGGCUCUGAUUCUGAUAAUCUAUUAAAGCCCUUCCUGUAGUCAUCUCCUACUUUCUGAAAAAAAAAUCUCUAUUUAUUCUAUGAAAAAUUACAGCUUGAAAGUUGAUCAUAAACACAUUUGUGGGGAUUACUGACAAAUUAGUAGGUACUAUUCUGGUGGGAUUCUUCUAUUCAAAUUCAUACUGUUUUUGUUUAUUCUAAAUAUUGACUGGGAAAAAUUCUACCCUAGACAACAUAUAUUUAAAUUUUCAUAUUGUCAAAACGAAAAAUGUCCACCUUGGCUUUUGUUGUAAAUUAUAUGUAUAUUACAUAUUAUAUAAUACAUGUUUUUAUAUUAAAGAGAAAGUAAUGUAUAGCAAAUCAGUGACAGAGGACCUUAUUUAUUUUCAUUUAAAGUUACAAUCAACCAGAAAAAAAGAGCCUUGUUACAUAUGGUAAUCUACAUGUAAUUUUAUAUGUAUCCUAUUACAUGGUUGAAAACAUUUAAUAAAAUCUAAAAAAUGUU